ACCAAUGUGGCGUAGUGGUUUGAGUGUUGGACUACAACCCUAGAGACCAGGAUUCGAGUCCUGCUUGGCCA